CAAAGUAUUGGAGUUUCAGCUUCAGCAUCAGUCCUUCCAAUGAAUAUAUAGGACUGAUUUCCCUUAGGAUUGACUGGUUUGAUCUCCUUGCAGUCCAAGGACUUGCAGUCCAAUAUUCAGGAGUGUUUUCACCAUUAAAUGAUUGCCAAAAAACAGGUAUCUAUAAAAAUUUACUUUUUAAAAAACUUAUGUUUAUAUACUUAAUAGUUAGAAAUAUUCUGGUCUAUAAGAAUAUUCCAACGAGGAUCAUUUCCAUGGGUUUAGUUUGUUAAAAAUACAAAAACACAACAACUUCUUCUUAAUAUUUAAAAACUAACUGACAUUUGGGAAAAUUGUUAUUAUCAGAUGAGAUUGAAAAGUAAGUAAAAUUUGGUAAAUUUUCCAUUCAGAUAUCCUUUUAAUUGAAACCCCAUAUCUCCUUACUAUCCUAAUGAAUAGGAAUUCUUGUUGUUACCACAAAAUAAAAUGUAUUAGUGGAGGAAAAACUAAAUUAAAAAAAAUUUCUGCGAGAUGAGAUGAUAAUACUUAGAAAACAAGUGAAUUGACCAAAAGAUACUAGAGGUUAAAAAUGAACCUAUCAAAGUUGCUUCCCUAAAUACAAUUCAAUAUAGACUGUGAACAACUACAUAAUGUAUGAGUCUGUUGCUGUGACAUUCUGGGAAAGUUGGGAGAAUAGAUCUCUGGUUGUUUAAAAGCUGGAGGUGGAGAGAUUUACUAUACAAAGAGGAAUGAAGAAACUGUUUUGGGUGAGAGAGUGUCGAUUAUAGUGAUGUGUACCUUGUUAGAAGUCACAAAACUGUACACUUACAAAGAAAGGUGAAUUUUACUGAAUGUAAAUUAUAUCUCAAUAUACUUGACUUUAAAAACUAGAUUUGAGAAAAGGUGAUUUCAUUCCCUAAAGGGGCAAAAAUCAAUGUAUGUAUGGGUGUUAAUAUGAGCGUUAUAAAAUGAAAAUUACAGUCGAGCAAUAAAGAAAGAUACUAAUUAACAGUAAUAGCCUCUUCCUGGUUGCAAAGACCGAAAGCCAAGCUGACAUUAGGCCCAGUAGGGCCAGAGCAGCACAUGGGGCCACGUGGUCCCUCCUACUGCACAGGUGGGUUCCUGCCCCGGGGGCGGGGGCGGGGGCGGGGAAUAAGGCCUGCCUGCCUGGGGGCGGGGCCUCAAGAGCGCCGCGGGGCGGGGCCUUUGAGAGCGGUCUGCGGGUACUCAAGUCCUGGAGUCCGGAGACGGUGGAGACAGUAUUAUGGCUGUGGUCUGGUCAUCCCUGAGUGUCUGGAAAACUGCUGGAUUUUGGACCUGGGUAGUGGAAGUGGCAGAGAUUGCUAUGCUCUCAGUCAGUUGGUUGGUGAGAAGGGACAUGUCACUGGAAUAGACAUGACAGAAGGUCAGGUGGAAGUAGCUAACAAGUACAUUGAAUAUCACAUGGAAAAAUAUGGGUUCCAGGCACCCAAUGUGACUUUUAUUCAUGGCUACAUAGAAAAGUUGGAAGAGGCUGGAAUCAAGAAUGAGAGUUAUGAUAUUGUUAUAUCCAAUUGUGUCAUUAACCUUGUACCUGAUAAACAGCAAGUGCUGCAGGAGGUAUAUCGAGUGUUAAAGCAUGGUGGGGAGCUAUAUUUCAGUGACGUCUAUGCUAGCCUUGAAUUGCCAGAAGAAAUCAGGACACACAAAGUUUUAUGGGGUGAGUGCCUGGGUGGUGCUUUGUACUGGAAGGACCUUUUUAUCCUUGCCAAAAAAAUUGGGUUCUGCCCUCCACGUUUGGUCACUGCCAAUUUCAUUACAGUUCAAAACAAAGACCUAGAAAACGUGAUCGGCGACUGCUGUUUUGUUUCUGCAACAUUUCGCCUCUUCAAACUCCCUAAGACAGGACCAACCAAAAAAUGCCAAGUUAUUUACAAUGGAGGAAUCACAGGACAUGAAAAAGAACUGAUAUUUGAUGCAAAUUUCACAUUUAAGAAAGAUGAAGCUGUUGAAGUAGAUGAAGAAACAGCGUCUAUCUUGAAGAAUUCACGAUUUGCCCAAGAUUUUCUAAUCAGACCAGAUGGAGAGAAGUUGCCAACAUGUGGAGGCUAUACUGCUUUAGAAGUAAAGGACGUGGUCACAGAUCCAUUUGAGCUUGCAGGGAGGUCUGACAGUGCGGAGUCCCGAAGUUCCCCCGCUGGUGGCUGCUGCAGUACAAAGAAGUGCUCCCAGAACAACAGCUGAGCAGAAGACAGUGGGCAGGAGUUUCUAUUCAACUGCUGACCCUGCAGUUCCCGUAAGCACAGCUCCCACUGAGGUUAGUGGGAGUGUUAUGUGAACAAGCUAAGAAGGGCACAUGGAGCUGGGCAGGGGUGCUCACAGGAGGGAACCGAAGAGCGCUGGAGCUGCUUAUGGUAAUUUGACAUAUAACUCGGAGCCUGAUUGUGUCAGUGACUAUCUCCAGAAAGUAUCUAGAAAAGGAGGGAAACAGGAAAGCCUGAAACAAAAAGCCUGAAAAGCCCUCUAGAGAAGUGGACAGCGUUGCUUCAGGGGGAGCGGAUUUGAUUGGAGGGAAAGUUUGGACAACACCAGCAUCACCCAGUUCCUAAUUUUCCUCAAAAGACCCAGUGCUUCGCACCUCCUGUAGGAUCCUAGUUCCCUGACCAAGGAUUGAACCUGGGCCCUCAGCAGUGAAGCACAGCAGAAUCCGAACCACUGGACUGCCAGGGAAUUCCUUCAUGGAGAAUAUGAUCCCCCCCACGUCCCCCGCAUUCACAUCCAGGAUGAACAUUAAAUUCACACAGGGAAUUUUUGAACUUGUGUGUAAAUUUGAGCUUGCUUUGUUUCACAUUGUAAAUUGUCUUGCGGGGUGCUUUCUGACAUUUUGCUAUGAACUUCUAACUUGCUUCUAAAUUGCUGAAUGCCACAGUUUCCUGACUAUUCUAGUUUUCUCUGAAAUGCACAGGAGAUGUCUGUAGGUUUGGCAAGCCUCUCCUCAGCCUCUUCUCUGCACUCUUAUUGCAAAAGUAUGCGUUUAGCAUUUAAGAGCCUGUAAUCAUCUUCCCUCUUAGCUCCCUUAAGCAGACUUGUGCUCACACUUUUAAUGAUGGUAAAACAGUUGUGUUUUUAAUCAGCUCAUUUAGAAGACCAUAUCUAUCC